GACGAACGCUGGCGGCGUGCUUAACACAUGCAAGUCGAACGGAAAGGCCCUGCUUUUGUGGGGUGCUCGAGUGGCGAACGGGUGAGUAACACGUGAGUAACCUGCCCUUGACUUUGGGAUAACUUCAGGAAACUGGGGCUAAUACCGGAUAGGAGCUCCUGCUGCAUGGUGGGGUUUGGAAGGUUUCGGCGGUUGGGGAUGGACUCGCGGCUUAUCAGCUUGUUGGUGGGGUAGUGGCUUACCAAGGCUUUGACGGGUAGCCGGCCUGAGAGGGUGACCGGCCACAUUGGGACUGAGAUACGGCCCAGACUCCUACGGGAGGCAGCAGUGGGGAAUAUUGCACAAUGGGCGGAAGCCUGAUGCAGCAACGCCGCGUGCGGGAUGACGGCCUUCGGGUUGUAAACCGCUUUCGCCUGUGACGAAGCGUGAGUGACGGUAAUGGGUAAAGAAGCACCGGCUAACUACGUG
rnacentral:rRNA from 1 species